rnacentral:rRNA from 1 species
GAUGAACGCUAGCGGCAGGCUUAACACAUGCAAGUCGAGGGGUAACAGGAAAGCUUGCUUUCGCUGACGACCGGCGCACGGGUGCGUAACACGUAUGCAACUUACCUCUAACUAGGGAAUAGCCCCGAGAAAUCGGGAUUAAUGUCCUAUAAUAUGUCGAAUUCGCAUGAAUUUGAUCUUAAAGCUCAGGCGGUUAGAGAUGGGCAUGCGGCCCAUUAGCUAGUUGGUGAGGUAACGGCUCACCAAGGCUACGAUGGGUAGGGGGCCUGAGAGGGUGAUCCCCCACACUGGUACUGAGACACGGACCAGACUCCUACGGGAGGCAGCAGUGAGGAAUAUUGGGCAAUGGACGCAAGUCUGA